CUUCGUUGAUGAACAAUAAUCGAUGACGAGUCCGAUAUAAUCCAUUUUCAAUGAAAUCGUGACGACAGAAUCGAGGCAUUUGUCUGAGAAGA
rnacentral:snoRNA from 1 species